CCGUGCUAGAUGGGGAGGUAGCGGUGCCUUGUAACUCACAAUCCGCUAUAGUGGGGUCGAAUUCCUGUUGGAGGGCCUGCCCUGUGGGGUCCGCCUUAAAUAAGUGGCAAUGAUAAUUGGGUCUUACGCAACAAGAAGCUAUGAACCCCGUCAGGUCCGGAAGGAAGCAGCGGUAAGUAGCCAAUCUUGUGUGCCGUAAGGAAGCCUGGUUUGAGUUAACUGUUUAAGUUACGCCCGGAGGGUAGUUUCGAAGACAGGUGCACGG
rnacentral:SRP_RNA from 1 species